CGGACUAGGCUUGGUGUGUAUUUGGUUAGUGUAGGCCUGACGUUGGCAUGUAUGUGUUUGAAGGAUUGCUUGUGAAGGGUGGUGGAUAUUAAAGCUAUGCGGUAUCAUUAGUUGGCCGAUCAUGUUCUUGUUUGAUUGUUGGUCGACCGGCUCAUGAUACUUGUAUAGUCUAAGUGUCUAACACUACAUGAAUACUGAACUCAAGCGUAUAUAUGGUUAACCAGGGAUUGGUUGUUAACUUGUUUAAAUGCAGGUUCCCGUUACUUGAAGCUAGAUCAUGGCAGGAGGCCAAGACUAACUUAGUAACGGUUUGCUUAGCCCUAGCUUUUAUUGCAUGCUAGGGCUAGAUUGAUUGUUAUUUUGGGUUGUCUGGGUUAGAGUCUAGGUUGCGGGUAGAGGCCACCAGCUCACUGAGUAAUACU
rnacentral:lncRNA from 1 species